ensembl:lncRNA
AUGCUACCACUUACUAUAUGGUCUUGGACAGGUCACAACUGUGUUACCUUCAAUGAAAACAGCAGACAAAUCUUAUUUGUAAUAUUUUUUUGUGAUUCUCAGACUUGCCAAGGAUCAAUAGAAGCAUUUGCCUCUUGUCACAUUCAGGCCACUGAACAGGUGGCCUGAACAGCCUGGGCUACUGAAAUGGCAUUGAAUUCAGAGCCAAGAUAUCUGAACAUUGCCGAAGAAAAAUACUACAAAGAAAAUGAGACAAAAGUGUAGGUGAUCGAGAGCAGGAUUGAGAAGUGUAAGAAAGAUAUUAAAAGAAAGACUGUGGGCAGGGUGCAGUGGCUUACGCCUGUAAUCCUAGCAUCUGGGGAGGCCGAGACAGGCAGAUCACUUGAGGUCAGGAGUUCAAGACCAGCCUGGCCAACAUGGUAAAACCCCAUCACUACUAAAAAUACAAAAAUUAGCCAGGCGUGGUGGCAGACACCUGUAAUCCCAGCUACUCAGGAGGCUGAGGCAGGAGAAUCACUUGAACCCGGGAGGUGGAGGUUGCAGUGAGCCAAGAUCGUGCCACUGCACUUCUGCCUAGGCGACAGAGCAAGACUCUGUCUCAAAGGAAAAAAAAAAAAGAAAAGAAAUACUGUGAUUGUUGGUGGUGUCUUUAAACUUGCUUUCUUUUCCCCUGAGAAUCUGAAUUUCUUAAAAUAGCUAAAAGAAUGUCUCCAGUCUAACAAGGAAAUUAUUGAAAACUUAUUCUUCACGUACCAUAUUUCUAAGAAAUUAAUUGUCAUGCAAAUUUAUUUGAUCUGCUGAAGUUAUCAGUUCCUUGACAUAGACCUAAAUUUUUUCUGACACAGCAAAAUAGCAUCUUCAUUUGGUCUGUGUGCACGAUAGACUUCCUAACUUUGCUAAACAAAUGCGUGUUCUCUAGAACUAGCCUCCAAUGAACAUAAUCAAAAUUGCAUAAAGAAUAGAUUUUUAAUGUUUUCACCACAAAAAAAGAUAAGUUGCUGAGGUGAUGGAUAUAAAUUACUUAGUUUGACUGAAUCUCUACAAUGCAUAAAUAGAUCAAAACAUCACAUUGUAUCCUAUAAGUAUAUGCAAUUAUUAUUGGUCAAUUAAAAAAUAAGUUUGUAAAAAAUCUUGAAUAGAAUGUAAGCAGAGAGAAGAAAGAAAUCCUUUCCUGAAUCAAAAAUGCCAGUUUCCAAAUGUGUGAAUCACUAAUGCUGAAUAAGAAGCACCGUGCUAUCUCAUUUCAGCCAUUUCCUCUUUCUCUAUCUCACUUCUUUCCUUAAAAACUUAAAAUGGGCUUCCUAACCUUUCCCAUUAUGCCUUUCAAUAUUAAUAGUAAUUUUAGCUUAUUUGAUAUUUUUCUUAAAAAUACAACUAUUUGAACAGUGUUGCAUUAUUUAAGACUAGUAAAAUUCCAAAUAUUUUCAAGACAAAAUAACAAGCUGUAUUGCAGUAGGUUUUCAGGUAGAAUAAUAAAGUUUACAUGCAAGAAAAAUAAAACUUUUGGCUUGGUUUGUAAAUAUGUGUCAAACUAAUGUAUUCUUGCCCACAAUAUUUCCGAUAAUAUCCCAUUCUGUUGGGCUUAACUAAAAGUUAUUCUUCUGUUUUUAAAACUUAGAUUCUCCCACGCAUUGGAAAUUGUUACAGAUGUAUUAUGGGGAGCUUUGGGCAGAGGUCCCAGGAAUACCCACACUCUGUCCUAGCCCAGCCACUCCUCCGAUGAGAUCCUAUGGUAAGUAGGUAAGCAGGGAGGAAUGGAGCCAGCAAAAUGUCUUUCCUAGUGGACCCUGGGGCGUAAACCUGAAUGCAGAGUAUUAGUGAGAGACACAAUAGACAAUCGUCAGUUGCCUUUGUCUCAAGCCACCUAUGGCCUCAAAAUAAGGAAACUGGAGAGGCCUAUUCUUGCCUUCCUAUCAAGCCCACACUUGCAACUUCCCUGUAGACACAGUGGGAGGACGAAACCUCAGUGCAGAGCAUGCCAGCCUCCACAAGGAGGAAGAGAGUAGUGGGAGUAAUGAGAGAGGCUACCUCCAGUGUCCAGAGAUGCCCACUCAGGGCUAUUCAAAUCUACCCAGUAGAUUUGAAUCUGGGUUUGGUCUAACCCAGAAGAUCUGAGAGCCCCAUAAAACACUGAAGAAGGUAGCUAAGGAAGAAGCAAGAUUUCU